CAACCCUCAAGCCCCCGGGCUUGGUGUUGGGGAUCGGCGAGCCUUCGCGCCCGCCGUCCCCUAAAUCUAGUGGCGGUCUCGCUGUAGCUUCCUCUGCGUAGUAGCACACCUCGCACUGGGAAACAGCGCGGCCACGCCGUUAAACCCCCAACUUCUGAAA
rnacentral:misc_RNA from 1 species